rnacentral:rRNA from 2 species
UACAGAGGGUGCAAGCGUUAAUCGGAGUUACUGGGCGUAAAGGGCGCGUAGGCGGUGAAUUGGGUGUGGUGUGAAAGCCCCGGGCUUAACCUGGGAAGUGCAUCGCAAACUAAUUGACUGGAGUAGAUGAGAGGGUGGCGGAAUUUCCGGUGUAGCGGUGAAAUGCGUAGAGAUCGGAAGGAACGUCAAUGGCGAAGGCAGCCACCUGGCAUCAUACUGACGCUGAGGCGCGAGAGCGUGGGGAGCGAACAGG